rnacentral:rRNA from 1 species
GUCUACCAGGCAUUCGCUUCAUGGGGGAUAGGGCGGGUUGUAAACUCCUUUUCUCAGAGAAGAAAAAAUGACGGUAUCUGAGGAAUAAGCAUCGGCUAACUCUGUGCCAGCAGCCGCGGUAAUACAGAGGAUGCAAGCGUUAUCCGGAAUGAUUGGGCGUAAAGCGUCUGUAGGUUGUUUAUUAAGUCCGCUGUUAAAUCCCACGGCUUAACCAUGGACAGGCGGCGGAAACUAUUAAACUAGAGUACGGUAGGGGCAGAGGGAACUUCCGGUGGAGCGGUGAAAUGCGUAGAUAUCGGAAAGAACACCCAAGGCGAAGGCACUUUGCUGGGCCGAAACUGACACUGAGAGACGAAAGCUAGGGGAGCAAAUGGGAUUAGAUACCCCAGUAGUCCUAGCCGUAAACGAUGGAUACUGAGCGCUGCGCGUAUCAACCCGUGCAGUGCUUUAGCUAACGCGUUAAGUAUCCCGCCUGGGGAGUACGCUCGAAAGAGUGAAACUCAAAGGAAUUGACGGGGGCCCGCACAAGCGGUGGAGCAUGUGGUUUAAUUCAUUCAACGCGAAGAACCUUACCAGGGCUUGACAUGCCACGAAUCUUUUUGAAAGAAGAGAGUGCCUUUAGGAACGUGGACACAGGUGGUGCAUGGCUGUCGUCAGCUCGCGUCGUGAGAUGUUGGGUUAAGUCCCGCAACGAGCGCAACCCUUGUAUCUAGUUGCCAUUCAAUUUAUUGGAACCCUAGAUAGACUGCCGGUGAUAAGCCGGAGGAAGGUGAGGAUGACGUCAAGUCAGCAUGCCCCUUACGCCCUGGGCGACACACGUGCUACAAUGGCCGGGACAAAGAGUUGUCAUCCUGAGAAGGUUACUAACCUCAUNAACCGGUCUCAGUUCGGAUUGCAGGCUGNCACUCGCCUGCAUGAAGCCGGAUCGCUAGUAAUCGCCGUCAGCCAUACGGCGG